AUACGGAGGGGGUUAGCGUUGUUCGGAAUUACUGGGCGUAAAGCGCGCGUAGGCGGACUGGAAAGUUGGGGGUGAAAUCCCAGGGCUCAACCCUGGAACUGCCUCCAAAACUAUCAGUCUAGAGUUCGAGAGAGGUGAGUGGAAUUCCGAGUGUAGAGGUGAAAUUCGUAGAUAUUCGGAGGAACACCAGUGGCGAAGGCGGCUCACUGGCUCGAUACUGACGCUGAGGUGCGAAAGUGUGGGGAGCAAACAGGAUUAGAAACCCUGGUAGUCC
rnacentral:rRNA from 1 species